rnacentral:rRNA from 1 species
UCGCCUGUUUUAUCAAAAACAUGUCCUUUUGGGUUUAUUUAAGGUCUGACCUGCUCAAUGAAUUUUAAAUAGCCGCAGUAUUUUAACUGUGCUAAGGUAGCAUAAUAAUUAGUCUUUUAAUUGAGGUCUGGAAUGAAUGGUUUGACGAGAAAUAUACUUUAUUAAUUUAUUUUAUUUGAAUUUAUUUUUUUAGUUAAAAAUCUAAAAUUUUAAAGAGGGACGAUAAGACCCUAUAGAUCUUAAAAAUUUUUAUUAUUUUUAGUUUUUUGUUAAAUCUUUUAAAUAUAAUUUUAAUUUUUUUGUUGGGGUGACAACUAAAAUUUUAAACUUUAGUUUUUUUUUACAUUUAUAUUUUGUUUAAUUGAUCCAAAAUUUUUGAUUAAAAGAAAAAGAUACCUUAGGGAUAACAGCGUUAUAUAAUUGGAGAGUUCUUAUUGAUAAUUAUGUUUGCGACCUCGAUGUUGGAUUAAAAUUUUUCUGUGGGGUAGGUUUUACAGAUUCUAGGUCUGUUCGACCUUUAAAUUU